rnacentral:lncRNA from 1 species
GCUCUUAUAUAUUUGGAAUGGAGGGAGUAGCUUACAGACUUUCUAUCUCACUUCAAUCUCAAUGACUUUUCACCUCAAUAAAAAGUAAGGACAAUACUCUAGCAAAUUGAUAGGAUUUUGGAAGCAGUAGGAAAAUGAGGUAUUUGCAUUUGCUCCUAGUGGUAUUCCACUUAUUUAAUUUAUUAUUGUUUGCCUUUAGUUCAAGCUUCUGUUCUUACUAAAAUAAUUGGAGGAAAGAAGCACAUUAAUCAGAAUUCUUAGUUGAGUCCAAAUGAAG